rnacentral:rRNA from 1 species
GACGAACGCUGACGGCGUGCUUAACACAUGCAAGUCGAACGGUGAAGCGCCUUCCUUUUUGGUGGGUGUGGAUGGGUGGCGAACGGGUGAGUAACACGUGAGUAACCUGCCCCCUUCUUCUGGAUAACCUCAUGAAAGUGUGGCUAAUACGGGAUAUUCUGUGUCUGUCGCAUGAUGGGUCUUGGGAAGCUAUUGUUUCGGUGGGGGAUGGGCUCGCGUCCUAUCAGCUUGGUGGUGGGGUGAUGGCCUACCAAGGCGGUGACGAGUAGCCGGCCUGAGAGGGUGGACGGCAACACAGGGACUGAGACACGGAGCAGACUCCUACAGGAGGCAGCAGGGGGGAAUAGUGAACAAGGGGAGGAAGCAUGAUGCAGCGACGCCGCGGGAGGGAAGGAGGCCGUCGGGUUGUGAACCUCUUUCGCGAGUGAAGAGGGGCUGCCUCGUUUGUGGGUGGGUUGACGGUAGCUGGAUAAGAAGCGCCGGCUAACUACGUG